UGUUCAAGCUACUAAGGGCGCACGGUGGAUGCCCUGGCGCCAGGGGCCGAUGAAGGACGCUGCCGGCGGCGAAAGGACCGGGGAGGUGCCUAGCAACCUUCGAUCCGGUCGUCUCCGAAUGGGGCAACCCCCGGCGGGUCAUACCGCCGGAUCCCGCGCUGAAUCCAUAGGUGCGGGAGGGCCAGUCGGGGAACUGAAACAUCUCAGUACCCGGAGGAAGAGAAAUCAACCGAGAUUCCCGGAGUAGUGGCGAGCGAAACGGGAACAGCCCAAACCCGCGGCGCGUGAGAGCUCGCAGGCGUUGCGCCGCGGGGGUUGGAGGGCGUCACCGGGCCGGGCUGCGAACCGGCCGGGAAGUGACCAAUCCCCGCUCUAGCCGAACUGUCCUGGAACGGCAGGCCGUAGACGGUGAGAGCCCGGUAGGCGAAAGGGCGGGGACUUCCUGGGUGACGUUCCUGAGUACCGCGGGACACGUGGAACCCCGCGGGAAGCUGGGGGGACCACCCUCCAAGGCUAAAUACCCCUGGCGACCGAUAGCGCACGAGUACCGUGAGGGAACGGUGAAAAGAACCCCGGGAGGGGAGUGAAAUAGAACCUGAAACCGUGCGCCUACAGACAGUCGGAGGGCUAUGCCGAUCCCCUCGGGGAUCGGAAUGCCUGACGGCGUGCCUAUUGAAGAAUGAGCCGGCGAGUUGCACCGUGUGGCGAGCUUAAGCGAGCGAAUCGCGGAGGCGGAGGGAAACCGAGUCUGAACAGGGCGCCGCUCCCGGAGGGGAGGCACGGCUUCGGCCGUGCAGUCGCACGGUGCAGACCCGAAACCGGGUGAGCUACCCAUGGCCAGGGUGAAGCGCGGUUAGCCCCGCGUGGAGGCCCGAACCCACUGGUGUUGAAAAACCAGGGGAUGAGCUGUGGGUAGGGGUGAAAUGCCAAUCGAACCCGGAGAUAGCUGGUUCUCCCCGAAAUGCAUUGAGGUGCAGCCCCGGCGCCAAGCCUCCGGGUGGUAGAGCACUGGAUGGGCUAGGGCGGGAGGACCCGUGCCGAACCCAACCAAACUCCGAAUGCCCGGAUGGCGUUCGUCGGGAGUGAGACGGUGGGGGAUAAGCUCCAUCGUCGAGAGGGGAACAACCCAGACCGCCAGCUAAGGUCCCCAAAUCGUGGCUAAGUGGGAAAGGAAGUGGCCUCGCUCAGACAGCCAGGAGGUUGGCUUAGAAGCAGCCAUCCUUUAAAGAGUGCGUAAUAGCUCACUGGUCGAGCGAUGCUGCGCCGAAGAUUCAACGGGGCUCAAGCCACGUACCGAAGCUGCGGGUCUCGCGUCCGCUGGGACGCGGGGCGGUAGGGGAGCGUUCCGGUGUAGGUUGAAGGCGGACCGGGAGGACCGCUGGACGACCCGGAAGUGCGAAUGCCGGCAUGAGUAGCGAAAAGGCAGGUGAGAAUCCUGCCCGCCGUAAGGCCAAGGGUUCUUACGGAAGGUUCGUCCGCGUAAGGUUAGGCGGGACCUAAGGCGAGGCCGACAGGCGUAGCCGAUGGACAGCCGGUCGACAUUCCGGCCCCGCUCGUCAGCCGUCAUGAGCCAAGGGGGGACGCAGGAGGGUAGGCCUACCGGGGGCUGGUCGUCCCGGGCCAAGCGGGUAGGCGGAGGCCCCAGGCAAAUCCGGGGCCUCGUCAACGCCGAGACGCGAGCGCGAGCUGGGUUGCAUGCCCGGCGAAGUGGCUCAGCCCACACUGCCAAGAAAAGCCUCGUGGCCAGGCUGGCGGGCGCCCGUACCGCAAACCGACACAGGUGGCCAGGCACUCAACGUGCCAAGGCGCGCGAGAGAACCCUCGUCAAGGAACUCGGCAAAAUGACCCCGUAACUUCGGGACAAGGGGUGCCUCGGUAGGGUGAGGUGCGUCACGCACCGAGCCCGAGGAGGUCGCAGAGAAUAGGCUCAGCCGACUGUUUAACAAAAACACAGGUCUCUGCGAAGCCGUAAGGCGACGUAUAGGGGCUGACGCCUGCCCAGUGCCGGAAGGUUAAGGGGACGGGUUAGUCCGGGUUCGCCCGGGCGAAGCCCUGAACCAAAGCCCCGGUGAACGGCGGCGGUAACUAUAACCGUCCUAAGGUAGCGAAAUUCCUUGUCGGGUAAGUCUCCACUUGCCCCAUGCGAGAGAGAUCUCGCAUGCCACACCGGCUCAUAUCGGUGGAGCCCUCGGGGGUGGAAAAUCUGCAAGUCCUGCCGAGGGGAAUACCGAGGGAAGCUGCGGCCUCGGCCGCUAGCCCCGUAACGACUUCGGGGGAAGGAACCCCCGGGGUGGCGUCUCUGGCCGGACGGCCAAAUCUACAGGCGCCACAAGACGCCGGUAUCUCGCCUGGAGCCAGCUGGUGGAUCUGCACGCCUACCUGUCCGGCUAUGCUGACGGAGAAGGGUGUUUCUGCAUCACCUUCAAUCGCAGUCCGCGGCGCGUCUUCGGCUGGGACAUCCGUCCGAGUUUCUCCGUCAGCCAGAACCGGGACCGCGCCGAGAUCCUUGAGGUGUUCCUCCGGACAUUCGGGUGUGGGACGAUUCGACCCGACCGAUCGGAUCGGACGCUCAAGUACGAGGUGCGGAGUGUGACGGACCUGGUGGCGCGCGUCAUCCCCCACUUCCAGCGAUACCCGCUGCUCUCGAGCAAGCGGAGAGAGUUUGCGGUCUUCGCUGAAGUGUGCGAGAUGAUGCACCGUCGCGAACACCUGACGGUGGCGGGAUUCCAGCGCAUCGUCAGGCUCGCCGGACGGAUCAACCAGACUGGCAAGAAGAAGUAUCCCAGGAUCGAGAUAAAGGUAUAGUCUACGCCCCUGGUAACAGGGAAAUUGCGUGAAGUUCCGACCUGCACGAAUGGCGUAACGAGCUGAGCGCUGUCUCGACGAGGGACUCGGCGAAGUUGUGAAGCCCGUGAAGACACGGGCCACCCGCGGCUGGACGGAAAGACCCCGUGGAGCUUUACUGCAGCUUGUCAUUGGAUGUGGUCUUACCGUGUAGAGGAUAGGUGGGAGGCGGAGAAGCCGGGGCGCCAGCCUCGGUGGAGCCACCCUUGGAAUACCACCCUCGGCAAGGUUACGUCCUAACCUGGGCCCUCAGCGGGUCUGGGGACAGUGGCAGGUGGGCAGUUUGACUGGGGCGGUCGCCUCCUAAACGGUAACGGAGGCGCCCAAAGGUCCCCUCAGCACGGUUGGAAACCGUGCGGCGAGUGCAAGGGCAUAAGGGGGCUUGACUGCGAGGCCUACAAGCCGAGCAGGGGCGAAAGCCGGGCCUAGUGAUCCUACGGCGGCAAGUGGAAGCGCCGUGGCUUAACGGAUAAAAGCUACCCCGGGGAUAACAGGCUAAUAGGGCCCAAGAGUCCACAUCGACGGCCCUGUUUGGCACCUCGAUGUCGGCUCAUCUCAUCCUGGGGCUGUAGUAGGUCCCAAGGGUUGGGCUGUUCGCCCAUUAAAGAGGUACGUGAGCUGGGUUCAGAACGUAGGAGCACUGCGUCCCUCGGGAGCAAUCCCGAGGUGCUCACCGGCUGAUAUCGGUGAAACCCUCGCAGAGGGGCCGAACGCUUCUGCAGGGCAACACCGAGGGAAGAUCGGGGGCUUGCGUGAAGGAGACGUUGAUCGGAACGGUGCUGGGUGACGGAUACCUUGAGCCUCACGGCCGAGGUGCUCGUCUCCAGGUGAACCACUCGGUUCGCCUGAAGGCGUACGUCCUGCCAGAGUUGCGGUACAAGCUCCCGUUCCCCGUAACGACUGAGGGCAUGAGGGCCCGAGAUAGGCGUCCGGCCGAAGCUGGCCACUCUACGGCGCCUAUCAUACGCCGGCUCCUCCGAUCCUUCCGGAGGAUGGAGCUAUAGUCUGUGCCCCUGGAAACAGGGGACUCACACGCGUGAGACAGUUCGGUCCCUAUCCACCGCGGGCGCAGGAGACUUGAGGGGAGCUGCUCCUAGUACGAGAGGACCGGAGUGGACGGACCUCUGGUGUACCGGUUGUCCUGCCAAGGGCACGCGCCGGGUAGCCAUGUCCGGACGGGAUAAGCGCUGAAAGCAUCUAAGCGCGAAGCCCACCCCAAGACGAGGUCUCCCACCGGGUCAACCGGGUAAGCCCCCUGGGAGAUGACCAGGUUGAUAGGCCGGAGGUGUAAGCGCUGAGAGGCGUUGAGCCUACCGGUACUAAUCGGGCGAGGGCUUGAGCCC
rnacentral:rRNA from 1 species